UACGAGGGGGGCAAGCGUUAAUCGGAAUUACUGGGCGUAAAGCGUGCGCAGGCGGUUUUGCAAGCCGGAUGUGAAAUCCCCGGGCUCAACCUGGGAAUGGCAUUCGGGACUGCAAGGCUGGAGUGCGGCAGAGGAGACUGGAAUUCCUGGUGUAGCAGUGAAAUGCGUAGAUAUCAGGAGGAAUACCGAUGGCGAAGGCAGGUCUCUGGGCUGACACUGACGCUCAUGCACGAAAGCGUGGGGAGCAAACAGG
rnacentral:rRNA from 1 species